CUGUACAGUCACGGUUGAUUAUCUGCUCUAUAUAAGUAUACGCUGAUAUCAUAACGGUAUCAUCGGCUACAGAAUGAGGUUCUUGGUGCUACUUUCUGUGCUCUUUGCGCUCAUAUGUGCGGCAAUGGGUGAAAUAGACGAUCGCAAAGGAAUUGACUUCACAGCGAAAUAUGCCGAACUUGCUUCUCCAGUCCCAGCCCAUGUGAACGUGGAAGAAUUAAUUUCUUCACUUCGAGCAGCCAGCAACUUACACUAACAACAAUUAAACAUCAUUCAACUCAUUUUCAAUGAUCUUACUAUGACAUAUCAAAAUGAAGUAGACGUUACUUCAAAUAAUAAAGAUCUGAGUUUGAUGAAAAAUAAUUGUAGACCAAUUAUCUCGCAACUGCUAAUAUAUCCCACUAAUUAUUAUUAAUGUCCAGUAAUCGAACCUAAUAACAUAUUUUACAUUAAAGUAAUAAAGCGUGCAAUUAUCUGA